AUUGAACGCUGGCGGCAUGCCUUACACAUGCAAGUCGAACGGCAGCACGGGUGCUUGCACCUGGUGGCGAGUGGCGAACGGGUGAGUAAUACAUCGGAACGUACCUUAUCGUGGGGGAUAACGCAGCGAAAGCCGUGCUAAUACCGCAUACGCCCUGAGGGGGAAAGCGGGGGAUCGAAAGACCUCGCGCGAUUAGAGCGGCCGAUGCCUGAUUAGCUUGUUGGUGGGGUAAAAGCCCACCAAGGCGACGAUCAGUUGCUGGUCUGAGAGGACGUGCAGCCACACUGGGACGAGGACACGGCCCAGACUGCUACCGGAGGCAGCAGUGGGGAAUUUUGGACAAUGGGGGCAACCCUGAUCCAGCAAUGCCGCGUGAGUGAAGAAGGCCGUCGGGUUGUAAAGCUCUUUUGUCAGGGAAGAAACACCGGCCCUAACACAGUCCGGGAAUGACGGUACCUGAAGAAUAAGCACCGGCUAACUACGUGCCAGCCGCCGCGGUAA
rnacentral:rRNA from 1 species